rnacentral:rRNA from 1 species
UACAGAGACUGCAAGCGUUAUUCGGAUUCACUGGGCGUAAAGGGUGCGCAGGCGGCCGUGUGUGUGAGGUGUGAAAGCCUGGGGCUUAACCCCAGAAUGCGCCUCAAACUACAUGGCUAGAGCAUUGGAGAGGGUAGCAGAAUUCAUGGUGUAGCAGUGAAAUGCGUAGAGAUCCGGAAGAACACCGGUGGCGAAGGCGGUUAGCUGGGCAGUAGCUGACACUGAGGCGCGACAGCGUGGGGGACAAACAGG